CCAUACUGUUUUCCAGAGUGGCUGCACCAGUUUGCAUUCCCACCAGCAGUGCAAAAGUGUUCCCCUUUCUCCAUAUCCUCGACAACAUCUGUUGUUUCAGGGUUGUUCAUUUUAGUGUAGUUUGCUUUUAAUCAGCAAAAGGAAAAGAAAGAAAGAAACCGCCCAGAUGCCCAUUCCAGCACCAUAGUGCAACCCUGUAGCACUGUUGCAAGACAGAGCAGAAGCUUCUGUUUCAGAGGCGGGUUUCGCACCAGUCAGUUGACUGGGGCAGGGUGGGGCCAUUGACUCUCAGAAUCUCUUUCUGUAAAAUAACGCAGUGAUCUCUGGGGACCUUCCAGCUCUGAAAUGCGAUUGACCCAGUGGAGAGCUGCCACCUGUCCCUUCUCUUGUGCGUGAGCAGGAAGCAUUUCUGGGAACACUGUUAAGACGUGAAGUGCCAAGGGGAGCACACAAGUUCAGGACCAUCUCUGCCACCAGGUUGCCUACAGUUGGGAGUCUUCCCCAGGGUCUCGGGAACAACGGCUGAAUGGAAAAUCAGUGAGAAUGAGUGAGAGCCCCAGAUUUUGAUGGCCUCGCUGGCAUCAUUCACUCUGCAGCACAGCACAGAAGAGGGGGGCCCACUGGGAUUUGUUUGGCUCAGCUCGUGGAGGCAAAGCCCCAGAGCCCACCCACCCAUGCUGUGGGGGAGCCAAAGCAGCCCAUGGACGACAGACCCCCACGGAAAGGAACCUGGCUCCCAGCCCACAGAUAGCCAGCACUCAUUUGCCAGCCGUGAGAGUGAGCCGUUUUGGAAGUGUCCUCUCCCACUCUGCCAACUGGAGUCGUUACCCCAGCUGAUGCUUCGUGGAGCCCGGAUCAGCCAUCCUGUGAGCUAUACCCAAAUUGCAGAUUGAUGAGGAAAUUAAUUAUUUUUUGUUAUUUUUUAAGCCAUUAAGUUUGGGUGGGGGCAAAAAUAACCUAUACACUAACUCCCCCAGUCUAGACUUUGGAGCAGUCUACCAGGGAGAAGAAAAAAAAUUGAGAUACCCUGUGUUUAAAGUGUUUGAUAGAUGAACUCUACCUUAGUAGAGAAAGAAUGGUUCAGUGACUGUUGUUCCUAAGGCAAGCCACACAUUCUCGUUUUCCAGGAAUUUUUCCACUUCCAGCAGUGAAAAUCCCAGGUGUUGGGCAUUCCUUCAGUCCUGGGGAAGCCAGGAUGGGUGGUCACCCUAGUUGCCCCCAAGCAGAGAACUGUUCCGCUUCCAUGAGAAUGAAGUAGGUUUGGAAAGAGGCCAGGUGUUUAGGAGAAAUUCCUCUUAGUGGAGAGCAUGAUUAGAAAGGACUGUUGUGCUAAUUGAAUGACCUCGGGCAAUUCCUCUUUGUCUCAGUUUUUGUCUCCGUCAAAUGGACAUAAUAAAGUAACUACUGGAGAAGUA